rnacentral:lncRNA from 1 species
UUAAAUAGAACAAAUAGUACAAUAGAACAACUUAAACCAUUGCCCAGAUCAAUGCCGAAACCACAACCAAACCAUUGCCCAGUUCAAGAACUCCUGACAUAGCACAUUCCAGCAAUUGAGACCAUUGCCUAGAUUAGAUUUAAGUAAGGCAAACAGUAUAGCUGCACAUAGUGUGAUUAUGCAACAUCAAUCUGAUUCAGUCACUCAAGAUAAUGCCUCACUCCAGUACACACUUACAAAAUAGACGCGUCAUUAAAAUCUACACCUUUAUAUACAUCAGCCAUUGAGCACAUAGCUCCAGUAAGCUUAUAACUUCAGAAGUCUGGCACCAAGAACUAAUAGCUCCAUUACUCUAGCCAAGAACACACCAAUGGAAUAAUUUUAGUCCUAAACUUGUAGAAGUCAGUAGGGCCACCAAGCAACCUGAAACAAAAAAGUUUAAUUGGUCAAGCCGUAGGAAACAUCGAUGAAAAUAUACAAAACAAAAUAUAAACAAAAUUUUAAUACUAAUCUAUGAAUAUAGUUACACCAGUGUGUGUUGUAUUUAUUAGCAAGCAAAAUUUUAGAACUAUUCUCUAAACUAAGUCCAUAGGAAUGUACCAUAAUCAUGUCUGUUGCAUUUCCUUGUCCUUGUUCUUGUUCUUCUCUUUCUGUCUUUGCUUUCCACCCUUAUCCCUGUACCCCUUUAGUCUUUUGAUUCUACCCCUUGAUCGAAUAUCAUUUGGAGGAUGGAUAUGAACCUCACUUGGAAUGGAGCAACCUAAAAAUUCCUCAAAUUCUUCUGUUUGAGUUUGUUUUUUUGCUAGAACUUGGGUAGACAAUUGCUCUCCAAGUGCAAAAAUGUGAUCUCUCAAGAAUUGCAUGCCGACCUGAGAUUGCUUCGCUUGUACUAAAAGGUCUUCCAUCUUCUUACAUGUUUCUGAAGCUAAUUUUUGUAUCUCCGGAUCAAUUGAACUGCUCUCAUUGCCUUCCAAUAGAAUGCCGUCCUCGUCAAAGACUGGCUCGGUUUUGCAGUCCUUUCUAAACCUUUUGAGUACAUAAUGCUUUGGCAAUUCAUUUAGCUAGGCAGUUCUUAGCACAUGGAUCAGAUGACGACAUGGGAUACCAUGUGUCUCAAACAACUUACAUGUGCAAGAACCUACCAUGGUUGUUGUGUUGUAAGUUACCACCCUUAGUUUCUUAUAGCCAUCAUGUAUAGUUACUGUUUUAACCUCACCAUCAUGUGCCAUCAUCUCAACAAGGCAACGAUCCCUAUUAGCAAGCAACUCAUGUUGAAAAUCCUGAAAUAUCUCAUGCGUGAACACCUCGCUGCCAUGCUUUUCAAUCGCCCACGAUGUCUUCAACACAGGCAUCGUAUGUAGGCUCACAUGGUCCUCUUGCAACUCCUUAUGACGUUGUUCUUCCAAAGCCGUGUCAAAUCUAAGCCAAAACUCAACCAAAGCAUGUUUGUAACCAAUAAUACGUGAGAAAAAAGAAUUGGCACUCUCUGACCUUGAAGUGGUCCGCAUAAGCCCUGACAAAGCUAUUUCUUUGAAAUAAGCUGGUAUCCAUGAUUCCAUCGUUCCUCAAAUUCAGUAGGAGUUUCAGAAGACCACACGCACCGACCUAAUCGUUCAUGGAAAUCCUCAUCGGUCUUCGAAUCAGGGCCAACCUUUUGCGGGAUCUUAUUCAUAAUAUGCCACAUGCAUAGCCUAUGUGUGGCUGCUGGGAAAACUUCCCUUAUUGCAUUGUCCAUGCUACUACAUUCGUCAGUUAUUAUAAACCUAGGUGCAGCCCCUCCCAUAGCUUUCAAGAAUGUGCGAAACAACCACUUGUAAGAAUCUGCCUUCUCAUCGUGUAACAUUGCAGCACCAAAACAAACACUUGCCUUAUGGUGAUUGAUUCCAGUAAAGGGGGUGAAUAUCAUGUUAUAUUGAUUGGUGCUAUACGUGGAGUCAAAGGACACAAGCUCUCCAAAUAGAGCAUAUUUUUUUCCUACAUGUGGCAUCCGCCCAGAACACAUGUACCAGUCUGCCCUUAUCAUCAAGAACAUAGUCAAAAUAAAAUCCUGAAUUUGCAAGAUGUUUUCUAGCAAGCUGGUCAACAAACAUUUGAGCAUCGGAUGACUUGAUGAGGCACCUAAGGUUUCGUUGGUGAUUUUGCAAGUCUCUCUUUGUACAGCCAACAUUCUCAACCCCCCCCCCCCAAGUCUACAUGAAGGAACCUGCUAGGGAUGUGCCAAGCUAGCUUUAUGACAGUUCCAUAAUGUAGUCUUUGCUUGUUGGCUAACUUUCCUAUUUGAUCUGAUGAAUUGUUUUUUACUGGGCGAUACAAGUGUGUGUGUGUGUGCUCCUGUUCGAAAAGUGUCACAAUGUACUUAUUCUCGACCGUGCGUUUGACCGCAAGUUUAGCUUCGCACCCACAUCUAGUGAUUUUCCUCUCAUAUCUCCUCUUACUACCAAUGCUAGCUACCAAAGUUUCCUUACCUUUCCGCUCUUCACGGAAACCUUCACGGUCACAGUAGAAACGCUUGUGAGUAAUGACACCAUUGAC